rnacentral:ncRNA from 1 species
GAGACAGUUCGGUCCCUAUCUAUCACGGGCGUAGGAAAUUUGAGGAGAGCUGACCUUAGUACGAGAGGACCGGGUUGGACGUACCGCUGGUGCACCUGUUGUUCUGCCAAGGGCAUAGCAGGGUAGCUAAGUACGGACGGGAUAAACGCUGAAGGCAUCUAAGCGUGAAGCCCCCUUCGAGAUAAGAUUUCCCAUAGCGUAGGCUAGUAAGGACCCAUGAAGACUACAUGGUUGAUAGGCCGGAGGUGGAAGUGCAGUAAUGUAUGUAGCUGACCGGUACUAAUAGUCCGAGGGCUUGACCAA